CCUACGGGGGGCUGCAGUGGGGAAUAUUGGACAAUGGGGGGAACCCUGAUCCAGCCAUGCCGCGUGUGUGAAGAAGGCCCUCGGGUUGUAAAGCACUUUCAGUGAGGAAGAACGCCUGGUGGUUAAUACCCAUCAGGAAAGACAUCACUCACAGAAGAAGCACCGGCUAACUCCGUGCCAGCAGCCGCGGUAAUACGGAGGGUGCGAGCGUUAAUCGGAAUUACUGGGCGUAAAGCGCGCGUAGGUGGCUUGAUAAGCCGGUUGUGAAAGCCCCGGGCUCAACCUGGGAACGGCAGCCGGAACUGUCAAGCUAGAGUGCAGGAGAGGAAGGUAGAAUUCCCGGUGUAGCGGUGAAAUGCGUAGAGAUCGGGAGGAAUACCAGUGGCGAAGGCGGCCUUCUGGACUGACACUGACACUGAGGUGCGAAAGCGUGGGUAGCAAACAGGAUUAGAUACCCUGGUAGUC
rnacentral:rRNA from 1 species